rnacentral:misc_RNA from 1 species
UAUACGGGGCCCAUAAGGGUCCGAACAGGCCAUGAGAUAUUGCGUAUAUCCUCAUACUUGAUGCGUAACUUCAAGUUCGUGACUGUCCCAUUCUUUGUUCUCCAUGGAACCGCUGACAAAGUGACAGAUCCACUAGCAUCCCAGGAUUUGUACAAUGAGGCAGCCUCUAUGUUCAAAGACAUAAAGCUCUAUGAUGGCUUCUUGCAUGACCUUCUAUUUGAGCCAGAACGUGAAGAGAUUGGGCAGGACAUUAUCAGUUGGAUGGAGAAGAGAUUAGGGUACCAAUUCUGAAAAUGUUUAUAGUCAGUGGUAGGUUAUCUUGCACGAUAGGGAAUGGG